rnacentral:rRNA from 1 species
AAUGAACGCUGGCGGCAUGCCUAAUACAUGCAAGUCGAGCGAACACACGGGGAGCUUGCUCCUCUCACGUUGGCGACGGGCGGGUGAGUAACACGUACAUAACCUACCGAUAAGACUGGGAUGACUUCGGGAGGCCGAAGCCAAUACAGGAUAAUAUAUUGAACGGCAGGGUUCAAUAGUGAAAGACGGUUUUGCUGUCACGUUGAGAUGGAUCCGCGCCGGAUUAGCUAGUUGGUAGGGUAACGGCGUACCAAGGCAACGAUGCGUAGCCGACCUGAGAGGGUGAUCGGCCACACUGGAACUGAGACACGGUCCAGACUCCUACGGGAGGCAGCAGUAGGGAAUUUUGCGCAAUGGGCGAAAGCCUGACGCAGCAACGCCGCGUGAGUGAUGAAGGUCUUCGGAUUGUAAAGCUCUGUUGUUGGGAAAGAAAAGAUGUGUAAGAAAACCUCGAUGUGUUGACGGUACCCAAACAGAAAGCACCGGCUAACUACGUG